AUUGAACGCUGGCGGCAAGCCUAACACAUGCAAGUCGAACGAGUGGCGGACGGGUGAGUAAUGUCUGGGAAACUGCAUGAUGGAGGGGGAUAACUCCUGGAAACGGUAGCUAAUACCGCAUACCAUCGGAUGUGCCCAGAUUGGAUUAGCUAGUAGGUGGGGUAAAGGAUCACCUAGGCGACGAUACCUAGCUGGUAUGAGAGGAUGCCCAGCCACACGAGAAAUGAGACACGGUCCAGAUGCCUACGGGAGGCAGGAGUGGGGAAUAAUGCACAAUGGGCGCAAGCCUGAUUCAGCCAUGCCGAGUGUAUGAAGAAGGCCUUCGGGUUGUAAAGUACUUUCAUCGGGGAGGCGUUACCCGCAGAAGAAGCACCGGCUAACUCCGUGCCAGCCGCCGCGGUAAUAC
rnacentral:rRNA from 1 species